GAUGAACGCUGGCGGCGUGCCUAAUACAUGCAAGUCGAGCGGACGGACGAGGAGCUUGCUGCUCUGAUGUUAGCGGCGGACGGGUGAGUAACGCGUGGAUAACCUACCUAUAAGACUGGGAUAACUACGAGAAACCGUAUCUAAUACCGGAUAAUCUUUUGAACCGCAGGGUGCGAAGGUGAAAGACGGUCUUUGUGUCAGUUAUCGAUGGUUCCGAGCUUGAUUAGCUAGUUGGUAAGGUAACGGCUUACCAAGGGUAGCAUGCGUGGCCGAGCUGUGUGGGUGAUCGGCCACACUGGAAGUGAGACACGGUCCAGACGACUGCGGGAGGCAGCAGUAGGGUAUCUUCCGCAAUGGGGGAAAGUAUGGCGGAGCGACGCCGCGUGAGAUGUGAAGGUCCUCCGUGCGUAAAACUGUGUUAUGGGUGAAGAACAGAUGUCGAAGUAGCUGUGCAGAUCUUGACGGUACCUAAUCAGAAAGCCACGGCUAACUACGUG
rnacentral:rRNA from 1 species